GCCGAGGUAUAACCUGGCAUAGGACAGGGCGCUGACCUUAGGAGUGACGGGAAGACCUGUGAUCUCACAGGGGUCUGGCAGCUCUGCGGGGACCUUAGCUCAUUUGCUCGAGGGGCAUCUUUUCUUGUGGUGUUAGGUCCCCGCAUCUCCCCCUUCCGCCCUCCCAACCCCCGCCCGGCAUUACUCACAGUAAGGGAGCACUAGUGGCCUGGGGUGAGCUAACAUCCUGAGAAUUUUCCUGCUCUGUUUUCUAGAGCUUCAGAGCCACCAGGAGCUCUAGACAAAAUUGUUGGGGGAUGAUACGGCUACCGAUGACCUGAGAAUUGGCCUAAGAAUUGUGGAUUUGGGGGUCCACAGGAUUGCCUCUGAGCUGGACAUUUUUGCUCACUUAGCCAGGACACCUGCCACUCUGCCUUAGCCUUUACUUCCUGCUUGCAUGGGGCCCAGAGAUCAACGAAAGAUGCCCACCUGGGGAGCUGCUCCAGCCAGGCGAUGAAGCAAAGGUCAGAUCCUUCAGAGACCUGCCGGCCUGGUCAAAAUGCACAACCACACUUUUAAAACAAAGUCCAUAUCAGGGCCCCAGGGAUUCAGGCUACUGUCGUCUGGGCUUUUGCUGGGCUGGGGAAUGGGAGACGGUAGGCAGAGUACGGAGGUGGUAGCCAGAGCUCAGGCCGCCAUCUUGGACUGUGAUGCCCACGAGGAUGGAGAAGCACAGAAUGGAAGGAGCUCUAGCCACUGUGGAGGCAUUAGCCUACCUCCUUUGUCUCAGGGGUGGAAAAACAACCCUUAUCUUCUUUA